AAAACUUUCAACAACGGAUCUCUUGGUUCUGGCAUCGAUGAAGAACGCAGCAAAAUGCGAUAAGUAAUGUGAAUUGCAGAAUUCAGUGAAUCAUCGAAUCUUUGAACGCACAUUGCGCCCGCCAGUAUUCUGGCGGGCAUGCCUGUUCGAGCGUCAUUUCAACCCUCAAGCCCCCCGGGUUUGGUGUUGGGGAUCGGCGAGUCGUCCGCGACGAGCCGGCCCCGAAAUCUAGUGGCGGUCUCGCUGCAGCCUCCAUUGCGUAGUAGCUAACACCUCGCAACUGGAACGCGGCGCGGCCAAGCCGUUAAACCCCCAACUUCUGAAUGUUGACCUCGGAUCAGGUAGGAAUACCCGCUGAACUUAAGCAUAUCAAUAAGCGGAGGAAAAGAAACCAACAGGGAUUGCCCUAGUAACGGCGAGUGAAGCGGCAACAGCUCAAAUUUGAAAUCUGGCUCUCGGGCCCGAGUUGUAAUUUGUAGAGGAUGCUUUUGAUGCGGUGCCUUCCGAGUUCCCUGGAACGGGACGCCAUAGAGGGUGAGAGCCCCGUCUGGUUGGACGCCAAAUCUCUGUAAAGCUCCUUCGACGAGUCGAGUAGUUUGGGAAUGCUGCUCUAAAUGGGAGGUAUAUGUCUUCUAAAGCUAAAUACCGGCCAGAGACCGAUAGCGCACAAGUAGAGUGAUCGAAAGAUGAAAAGCACUUUGAAAAGAGAGUUAAAAAGUACGUGAAAUUGUUGAAAGGGAAGCGUUUAUGACCAGACUUGGGCUUGGUUAAUCAUCUGGGGUUCUCCCCGGUGCACUUUUCCAGUCCAGGCCAGCAUCAGUUUUCCCCGGGGGAUAAAGGCUUCGGGAAUGUGGCUCUCUUCGGGGAGUGUUAUAGCCCGUUGCGUAAUACCCUGGGGGGGACUGAGGUUCGCGCUUCUGCAAGGAUGCUGGCGUAAUGGUCAUCAACGACCCGUCUUGAAACACGGACC
rnacentral:rRNA from 1 species